rnacentral:rRNA from 1 species
AAGAACCUUACCAGGUCUUGACAUCCCGAUGAAUGGUCCGUAACGGGGCCAGCCCUUCGGGGCAUUGGAGACAGGUGGUGCAUGGUUGUCGUCAGCUCGUGUCGUGAGAUGUUGGGUUAAGUCCCGCAACGAGCGCAACCCUUAUUGACAGUAGCCAGCAGGUAAAGCUGGGCACUCUGUUGAGACUGCCGGGGAUAACCCGGAGGAAGGUGGGGAUGACGUCAAAUCAUCAUGCCCCUUAUGAUCUGGGCUACACACGUGCUACAAUGGCGUAAACAAAGGGAAGCGAGCCGGUGACGGUAAGCGAAACCCAAAAAUAACGUCCCAGUUCGGAUUGUAGUCUGCAACCCGACUACAUGAAGCUGGAAUCGCUAGUAAUCGCGGAUCAGAAUGCCGCGGUGAAUACGUUCCCGGGUCUUGUACACACCG